UUUCCGUAGGUGAACCUGCGGAAGGAUCAUUACCGAAUUGUCAAACGGGUUGUUGCUGGUCUUCAAACAGGGACAUGUGCACGCUCUGUUUACACAUCCACUCACACCUGUGCACCCUCCGUAGUUCUAUGGUCUGGGGGACCCUGUCUUCCUGGCGUGGUUCUACGUCUUUACACACACUCUGUAAUAAAGUCUUAUGGAAUGUAUGCCGCGUCUAACGCAAUACAAUACAACUUUCAGCAACGGAUCUCUUGGCUCUC
rnacentral:misc_RNA from 1 species